AAAACAAGGAGGCGCAUCUUCCAGAUUCACACAUCCAGGAUGACGUUGGCUGAUGAUGUCAACUUAGAAGAAUUUGUUAUGACCAAGGAUGAGUUCUCUGGGGCUGAUAUAAAGGCAAUAUGUACCGAAGCUGGUUUGCUUGCUUUGAGAGAGCGCCGUAUGAAGGUGACACAUAUAGACUUCAAGAAGGCAAAGGAAAAGGUGAUGUUCAAGAAGAAAGAAGGGGUUCCGGAAGGGCUCUAUAUGUGUUAGGAAACUAUAUAUGAAAUAGUAGAAAAUAAAAAGGUAAAAAAUAUAU